CGCCAACCAGCUAGCCCCCCCCAACAAAAUCAACAACCCAAUAUUUAUAACCCCUAAAUACACAAUUCAACCUAAUAAACAAAUCAUUUUACCCCCUUAGUACGGGCGACAGAAAAGGAACAUAUCGGAGCAAUAGAAAAAGUACCGCAAGGGAACGCUGAAAAAGAAGUGAAAUAACCCAGUGAAGCCUAGAAAAGCAGAGAUCCCCACUCGUACCUUUUGCAUCAUGACUUAGCUAGUAUUACCCAAGCAAAGAGCACUUUAGUUUGGGCCCCCGAAACUACGUGAGCUACUUCAAGCCAGCCUAUUAUAUAGGGCAAACCCGUCUCUGUGGCAAAAGAGUGGGAAGAGCUUUGAGUAGAGGUGACAGACCUAACGAACCUAGUUAUAGCUGGUUGCCUGAGAAUUGGAUAGGAGUUCAGCCUACAGCCUUCUCUCUUCACCAUGGUCUCACCCCUACCGACACCCGAAGAAGGCUGGAGAGUUAAUCAAAGGGGGUACAGCCCCUUUGAGACAAGACACAACUUUCCCAGGAGGGUAAAGAUCAUAAUAAUUGAAGGGCCAAAACCCACGUGGGCUUAAAAGCAGCCACCCUAUAAUUAACGCGUUAAAGCCAGGGCCUAAACCACACCCUUAGAUUUAGAUAACCAAAUCCCAUCCCCCUAAAAUUAUCAGGCCGUCUCAUGCAAACAUGAGAGUGCACAUGCUAACAUGAGUAAUAAGAGAGCCCUGUCUCUCUCCUUGCACACGUGUAAUUCGGAACGAACCCCCACCGAAAUUUAACGGCCCCAAACAAAGAGGGCAAUGAACAAAAAAUAAUCACCCAGAAGACCCCCCAAAAAAUAACCGUUAACCCCACACUGGUGUGCCCCUAAGGAAAGACUAAAAGAAAAAGAAGGAACUCGGCAAACAUUUCAAGCCUCGCCUGUUUACCAAAAACAUCGCCUCUUGCAAAAACCAAGAAUAAGAGGUCCCGUCUGCCCUGUGACUAUAUGUUCAACGGCCGCGGUAUUUUGACCGUGCGAAGGUAGCGCAAUCACUUGUCUUUUAAUUGUAGACCUGUAUGAAUGGCACAACGAGGGCUUAACUGUCUCCUUUUUCAGGUCAAUGAAAUUGAUCUCCCCGUGCAGAAGCGGGGAUUAAACCAUAAGACGAGAAGACCCUAUGGAGCUUUAGACACCAAGGCAUAUCAUGUUAAACACCCCUUAAUAAAGGGCCAAAACUUAAUGACCUAUGCCCCUAUGUCUUUGGUUGGGGCGACCACGGGGAAAUAAAAAACCCCCACGUGGAAUGGGAGCACUAAAAUCCUACUACAACCAAGAGCUGCAGCUCUAAUAAACAGAACUUCUGACCAACAAGAUCCGGCAAUGCCGAUCAACGGACCGAGUUACCCUAGGGAUAACAGCGCAAUCCCCUUUUUAGAGGCCGCAUCAACAAGGGGGUUUACGACCUCGAUGUUGGAUCAGGACAUCCUAAUGGUGCAACCGCUAUUAAGGGUUCGUUUGUUCAACGAUUAAAGUCCUACGUGAUCUGAGUUCAGACCGGAGUAAUCCAGGUCAGUUUCUAUCUAUGAUAUGUUCUUUUCUAGUACGAGAGGACCGAAAAGAAGAGGCCCAUACUUACAGUACGCCUCAUCCCCCUCUAAUGAAAACAACUAAAAAAGGCAAAAGGACAUACCCUUUCCAAGCCAAAGAUAAUGGCAAA
rnacentral:rRNA from 1 species